rnacentral:lncRNA from 1 species
GAAGCUCCUUCAAUGUUUAACUGCUCAGGAAUUUCUUGUGUCAGAUAUCCUGGUUUGUCACUCUUAACUCCUGCCUUCCCCCAAAUCCUAGUCACAGACACAAUUCUGCCAAGCUCCUUGCAACUACAUGACCAGGAUGACCCCUGCCCCAGAUUCUAGUACUUUGUUCCUCAUUUCUGUCUGAGACUGCAACAGCAUAGCCUUCAUUGUCUGUAUUUCUAACCAGCGUUCUGGUCAUGGCCACUUCAGUAAUCACUAAGAAGAUUCAGGCUUUCCCUACAGCUCUCCCUCCUCCUAGGCCCUCACGGUAAUCCCUCUUAAUGCUCCAUUUAUGGCAAUCUAGACCUUUUCAAGCCUGGUCCACAAAUCUUCCAGCUUCUACCUCUUAGUCAGCCCCAAAGCCACUGCUACAUCUUCAGGUAUUUGUUAUAGCCACAGCUCCACUUCUCAGUACCACUUUUCUGUCUUAAUCCAUUUUCUGUUGCUAUAAUAGAAUGCCCAGGCUGGGUAAGUUAUAAACAAUAAAGUUUAUUUGGCUCACUUUCCUGGAGACCGGGAAGUCCAAGAUCAAGAUCACAUCUGGCAAGGGCCUUCCUGCUGCUUCAUAACACAGCAAGAGGGUAAGUGGUUUCACCUUCCAUUACUAUCCCAGCGGCAAGCAAAUUUCACCAUGAGUUUUAGAAGGGGACUGUUCACCAUAGUGGAGACUGACAAGUCCCCAGGUCUGCAGGGUGGGCUGGCACACUGAAGUCCCAGGAGAGCCACUAGUAUAGUUCUAGUCUGAGACCAAAGGCCUGAGAAGCAGAAAUGCUGAGGGUGAAGGUCCAGUGUAAAUGCCAGUAGACGUGAGACCCAGGAAGGGGUCAUGUUUCAGUCCAAGUUCAAAGUUAAGGAAAAGCAAAAAUCAAUUAUACUUCUCACUAGCAAGGGAUAAUCUGAAAAUGAAUUUAGGAACUCAAUUUCAUUUGUUUACAGCAUCAAAAAUAGUAAAACACAGAGGAACAAAUGUAAGAGGUCUGAGAUGUAUGUGCUUAAAACUACAAAACAUUGCUCCAACAUGAGAACAAAUCAGACCAUUCACAUUUUCAGAUUUCAAAACUCCCUACAAAGUAUAGUAAUCAAAACUUUGUGGUACUUGUGUAAGGACAAUGUAAAACAAUCAUAUAGACAUGAUGGCACAGGAAUAAACCCGUCCAUUUAGGGUCAAUCAAUUUUUGACAAGAUAUCAACAUGAUUCACAAGGAAAUAUCUUUUCAACAAAUGGUUCUGGGACAAGUGGAUAGACAGGUGCAAAAGAAUGACAUUAGACCCAACCUCACACCAUAUGUAAAAUUCAAAAUGGGUCAAAGACCUGAUUCAAAAGCCAAAACUAUAAAAACUCUUAGAAAACAACACAGACAUAAAUCUUGGUGAUCUUGGCUCUGGUAAUUUAUUCCUGGAUAUGAUACCAAAAACACAGGCAACAAAAGCCAAAACAGGACUUUUCAAAAGAAAAAAUAUAUAAAUGAAACUUCAUCUAGCGUAAUUACUUUUAUGCUUCAAAGGAUAACAACAAAAAAAGUGAAAAAGACAAUCCACAGAAUAAGAGAAAAAUUUUGCAAAUUAGAUAUAUGAUGAAGAACUUACAUCUAAAACAUAUUACUAGAUAACAAAAACACAAAUAGCCAAUUUUAAAAUGGGCAAGGGAUCUGUAUAGAUGUUUCUCCAAAGAAGACAAACAAAAUGGCCAAUUAAAUGCAUGAGAAGCUGCUAAUAUCAUUAGCCAUCAGGGAAAUUCAAAGGAAAACCAUAACGUAAGACUUCAUUUCACACCCACUAGCAUGGCUAUAAUAAAGAAGACAGAUAAAAACAAGUAUUGAUGAGGAUGCAGAAAAUCAGAACCCUCAGAGACCCAUGAUGAGAAUGUGAAAUGAUGUUCCACUUUGAAAACUAGUCUGAAUAAAUACAGAAUUACCACAGGACACAGUAAUUCUUCUCUGAGUAUACAUACUCAAGGGAAAUGAAAGGUUAUGUCCUUACAAAAACUUGUAUAUGAAUAUCCAUGAAAGCAUUAUUCAUAGUAACCAAAAAAUAGAAACAGCCCAAGUGACCCACGGCUCUUGAUGUAUGGUAGAGACAAAAUGUGCUUUAUCCAUACAAUGGAAUACUAUUUAGCCAUAAAAAUGGAUGAAAUACUGACUCAUGAUGACUAAAGGGAAAGAAGCCAGACCACACAUUGGAUUUAUAGGAAUAUCCAGAAUAGGCAAAUCCAUAGAAAUAGAAAAUAGAUUAAUGAAUGCCAACAGCUGUAGGGAGAGAAGACUGGGAGAGAUUGCAAAUUGUUGUGGAGUCUCUCUUUGGGGUGAUGAAGAUGUUACACGUUAUGAAUAAAUUCAAAGCCACUGAAUUGUACAGUUUAACAUAGUGAAUUUUAGAGCACAUGAAUUAGGACUCAGGAUUUUUUUGGGGGGCUUUUUGUUUGUUUGUUGUUUGUUUUGUACCAGAGUAUUUAAACACUGAACCACAUCCCCAGACCCCCCCGGUUUUUAGGUUGUCAUUCUUUUUAAAUUUAUUCUAAUUUGUUAUAUAUGACAGCAGAAUGCAUUUCAAUUCAUAUUACAUAUAUAGAGCACAAUUUUUCAUGUCUGGUUGUACACGUGUGUUCAUACGUGUACUUAGGGUAAUGAUAUCCAUCUCACUCCACCGUCUUUCCUACCCCUUGCCUCCUCCGUACCCCUCCCUCCCCUUUGCCCUAUCUAAAGUUCCCCCAUUCCUCCCAUGCUCCACACCCCACAUCCCCAUUUUGAAUCAGCAUCCUUAUAUCAGAGAAAACAUUCAGCACUUGUUUUGGGGGGAUUGGCUUAAUAUUAUAUUUUCUAACUCCAUCCAUUUAUCUGCAAAUGCCAUGAUUUUAUUCUCCUUUAAUGCUGAAUAAUGUUCCAUUGUGUAUAUAAACCACAUUUUCUUGAUCCAUUCAUCUAGUGAAGGGCAUCUAGGUUGGUUCCACAGUUUAGCUAUCAUGAACUGUGCUGCUAUAAACACUGAUGUGGCUGUGUCCCUGUAGUGUGCUGUUUUUAAGUCCUUUGGGUAUAGACCAAGGAGUGGGAGAGUCCAACCCUUUUUUGUAUUUUACUUAGAAACAGGGUCUCACUGUUGCUUAGCGCCUUGCUAACUUGGUGAGGCUGGCUUUGAACUUGUGAUCCUUCUGCCUCAGCCUCCCAAGCUGCUGGGAUUUCAGGUGUGCUCCACCAUGCCAGGCUAGGACUCAGUUUUUUAAAAAAGUUAAUAAAAAACAAACUUUUGAUGAAAGCAAAAGCCCACAUCUGGUCAAACAGGGAAGUGCAGUAAGAUAUUGACUUUGCAGACUCCAGAAGAGGCUUUGGGCAGAGAUAUACAGACCAUUAGGCCCACUGUCCAGUUUUCUGACUUAGUGGAUCUACGGAAGGACAAGGAUCUUCAAAUUCUUGUAACUCCGUGAGUGUCUCCAUGCCCUCUCCUCACUCUAUCCUAAAACAUGGCUAAGACUGAACCUAGAUUUCUUUAGGUCCCUGGUUUUGAUGUUCAGGACUUCCCAGUUGUUAGAGGACAAUGUCAGACAUCAGGAUCAGGAAACCCAGAUGCCACUCAUCUUUAAUCAUUUGUACCAAGUUUUAUCUUCUAUACUCUAAGAACAAUGGCCACCCACUUCUCAUGGUUCAUGAAGAAUACUUAUGAAGAGUUUUAUCACUGAUGCUUCUUUUCCAGAACUCAUGCCGACAUCUCCACCAUGUCGGUCAUGUAGAGGAAUUUCAAAGAUGUUAUUUAUUUUCCCUUCACUACAUCAAUUUAUGUGCAAACCCCCAAACCUUUAGGAAUAAAUAACUUUCUCUAGUAGUAGCUUUGAAUUGUGUAUAAAUAAAUAAAUAUAAUUUAGAUAAGGCUUAGUGUUGAUUAGUCCAAAAGAAAAUAAGAUUUUGAAUGAAAAUUAGAAAUCUCCUUCAUCACCGAAUGGCAUUAUGUAAGUGUGUUCUCACAGCCUCAGUCUUGGCCAGCGUUAGAACACGAACUCUCUGGGGUUGUCCUGAGAACAGUGGGUCCCAGAAAAAGAAGAAUGACUUGUGACAAGAACCCUGAGGAGAGCCUCAGUCUGUUUCCAUGAUUUAUGAUCCUGCCUCAGUAAUGACUCCCACAAUUUGGUUCAGACCACAAGAGGCCGUAUCUGACACGGUAGCAGAAAGAUGGGCAGCCACCGUCCCGCACUAUCUUGGGCUCACAAGCCACACUGAGCUCAUGAAUCACCUUCCUUCCCUGCAAAGUUCUCAGCUGCUUCAUUCCAGGAGAUGAGUUUCCAUCUGUGGCCAGGAACCAGGGCCAGGUUAGGUAAGACCUGAGUUGGCUCCAAUUUCCAAGGACAGUCAACCUCAAGGAAGCGUGCUGCAUACCCUCCCAGGACUAUAGGGUUGAUUUUUUUAAAAAAAGGCCAGUGUUCCCAAGAAAAACCCCUUCAGAUUCAUGAGUGGCUACUGACCAUUUCUAAUAAAACAAUUGCUAAUACACCUGGGUUUGGGAAGAUGGGCAGAAAACCAAGAUUAACCAUGAAGGUGACCUGUGAAAUUCACUAACCACCUGUCUCCGUAGGUAGGUCGGUGUGGAAUGGCCUGCCAGAGGGAAAGGAGAGGGUGACUGACCCCUCGAGGUUCUCUGUCUUUGCCUACUGUAGGUCCCAGUGUUGGGGAACUUGGUGUAAGUAUUGUUUUGAUAACCAGCACAUUCUUCUGCCCCUUAUCCCAGAAGCAGUGGUGCCGGGGAGUGUUCCAGCAAUGAGCAAAACAGAGUCCCUGUCCUCGGUGAGCUUACAUUAUCAUGUGGAGAGACUCCAGAUAGCCCUGGUGAACCCUAUGAGGAAGACAAAACAGCCCAAGAAGGAGCAGCCACUGAGGUAGGAGGAAAACCAGGUGAUCAUCGUUUCAUA